rnacentral:rRNA from 1 species
GAAGUUUCCUCUCGCGGAAACGGAUUAGCGGCGGACGGGUGAGUAACACGUGGGUAACCUGCCUCAUAGAGUGGAAUAGCCUUCCGAAAGGAAGAUUAAUACCGCAUAAUGUUGAAAGAUGGCAUCAUCAUUCAACCAAAGGAGCAAUCCGCUAUGAGAUGGACCCGCGGCGCAUUAGCUAGUUGGUGGGGUAACGGCCUACCAAGGCGACGAUGCGUAGCCGACCUGAGAGGGUGAUCGGCCACAUUGGGACUGAGACACGGCCCAGACUCCUACGGGAGGCAGCAGUGGGGAAUAUUGCACAAUGGGGGAAACCCUGAUGCAGCAACGCCGCGUGAGUGAUGAAGGUUUUCGGAUCGUAAAGCUCUGUCUUUGGGGAAGAUAAUGACGGUACCCAAGGAGGAAGCCACGGCUAACUACGUGCCAGCAGCCGCGGUAAUACGUAGGUGGCGAGCGUUAUCCGGAUUUACUGGGCGUAAAGGGAGCGUAGGCGGAUGAUUAAGUGGGAUGUGAAAUACCCGGGCUCAACUUGGGUGCUGCAUUCCAAACUGGUUAUCUAGAGUGCAGGAGAGGAGAGUGGAAUUCCUAGUGUAGCGGUGAAAUGCGUAGAGAUUAGGAAGAACACCAGUGGCGAAGGCGACUCUCUGGACUGUAACUGACGCUGAGGCUCGAAAGCGUGGGGAGCAAACAGGAUUAGAUANCCCUGGUAGUCCACGCCGUAAACGAUGAAUACUANNGGUGUGGGGGUUUCAACACCUCCGUGCCGCCGCUAACGCAUUAAGUAUUCCGCCUGGGGGAGUACGGUCGCAAGAUUAAAACUCAAAGGAAUUGACGGGGACCCGCACAAGUAGCGGAGCAUGUGGUUUAAUUCGAAGCAACGCGAAGAACCUUACCUACACUUGACAUCCCUUGCAUUACUCUUAAUCGAGGAAAUCCCUUCGGGGACAAGGUGACAGGUGGUGCAUGGUUGUCGUCAGCUCGUGUCGUGAGAUGUUGGGUUAAGUCCCGCAACGAGCGCAACCCUUGUCGUUAGUUACUACCAUUAAGUUGAGGACUCUAGCGAGACUGCCUGGGUUAACCAGGAGGAAGGUGGGGAUGACGUCAAAUCAUCAUGCCCCUUAUGUGUAGGGCUACACACGUGCUACAAUGGCUGGUACAGAGAGAUGCAAUACCGCGAGGUGGAGCCAAACUUAAAAACCAGUCUCAGUUCGGAUUGUAGGCUGAAACUCGCCUACAUGAAGCUGGAGUUACUAGUAAUCGCGAAUCAGAAUGUCGCGGUGAAUACGUUCCCGGGUCUUGUACACACCGCCCGUCACACCAUGAGAGUUGGCAAUACCCGAAGUCCGUGAGCUAACCGCAAGGAGGCA